GCGGGUAUCGUUCAAUGGUAGGACAUUGGGUUGUGGUCCCAAGAACCUGGGUUCGAUUCCCAGUACUCGCCCA
rnacentral:tRNA from 4 species